UAGGGAAUAUUGGUCAAUGGGUGCGAGCCUGAACCAGCCAUGCCGCGUGCAGGAAGGCAGCCUUAAGGGUUGUAAACUGCUUUUGAUCGGGAAGAAAUAGGUUCUGCGGAGCCAGUUGACUGUACCGAUAGAAUAAGCACCGGCUAACUCCGUGCCAGCAGCCGCGGUAAUACGGAGGGUGCAAGCGUUAUCCGGAUUUAUUGGGUUUAAAGGGUACGCAGGCGGGAUAUCAAGUCAAUGGUAAAACCUACCGGCUCAACCGGUAGCCUGCCGAUGAAACUGAUAUUCUUGAGUGUGGUAGAGGUAGGCGGAAUUUAUGGAGUAGCGGUGAAAUGCAUAGAUACCAUAAAGAAUAUCGAUAGGGAAGCCAGCUUACUGGACCACAACUGACGCUGAGGUACGAAAGCAUGGUUAGUCAACAGGAUUAGAUACCCCCGUAGUCC
rnacentral:rRNA from 1 species